rnacentral:lncRNA from 1 species
ACCGAGCCUCCCGGAUUUAAAGCGGCAGGAGCUGGUUAGCCGGAUAGAAUAUGGCAUCUCAAUGUGUUACCCAGGCUGGUCUUGAACUCCUGGACUCAAUCCUCCUACCUUGGCCUCCCAAAGUGCUGGGAUUAUAGGUGUGAGUCAUCCUGUCUGGCCUAUUUUCUGAGGACUGAUUUUGUAUUUUAUUAUUAUUAUUUUAGGACCACAUAACUCUGUUUAGAAAAUGUUUCUAAUGUAUUGAGUGCUUCAAAGGUAUAUUAGUUCGAUUUCACACUGCUAUAAGGAAUUGCCUGAGGCUGAGUAAUAUAUAAAAUAAACAGGUUUAAUUGACUCAGUUCCAUAUAACUGGGGAGGCCGCAGGAAACUUACAAUCAUGGCUGAAGGUGAAGGGGAAGCAAGGCACAUCUUACUUGUUGGCAGGAGAGAGAGAGUGCAGGGGAAACUGCCACUUUUUCUUUUUUUUUUUUGGAGACAGAGUCUCACUCUGUUGCCCAGGCUGGAGUGCAGUGGCGCAAUCUUGGCUCACUGCAAGCUUGGCCUCCCGGGUUCACGUCAUUCUCCUGCCUCAGCAUCCCGAGUAGCUGGGACUACAGGCGCCCGCCACUACGCCUGGCUAAUUUUUUGUAUUUUUAGUAGAGACGAGGUUUCACGUGUUAGUCAGGAUGGUCUCGAUCUUCUGCCCUCAGGUAAUCCACCCGCCUUGGCCUCCCAAAGUGCUGGGAUUACAGGUGUGAGCCACCAUGCCCAGCCAGAAACUGCCACUUUUAAACCAUCAGAUCUCAUUGAGAACUCCCUCACUAUCACGAGAACCGCAUGAGGGAAACCACCCCCAUGAUCUGAUCACCUCCCACCAGGUCCUGCCCUCAACAUGUGGGGAUUACAAUUCAAGAUGAGAUUUGGGUCAGGAAACAGAGCCAAACCAUAUCAAGAGCCUCUGGUAACCACUGUUCUACUCAAUACUUCUAUGAGGUGAACUUCUUUGGAUUCCACAUAUGAUCAAGAUCAUGAGGAAGGAGGAGCAAGUCUUCUUUGUCAUGCUAUUAAGAAAAUACCCAGAGUCACAGCACCAUGAUCUCCUUGUGAAGCAGAACAAGUAAUAUAAAACUGAUCUAAAGAGGCCUCCCCUCUACUCUUAUCUGUCUGGUCGAGUCAUUUGGGUCCAAGUGGGCACCAUUGUGGGAGGGUGGGAGGACUCAUCACUGGGGGCCCAGGCAUCAUUGGCAUGUGGCCUCCUGUGUUAGUUUGUUCUCAUGCUGCAAAUAAAGACAACUUGAGACUGGAUAAUUUAUAAAGGAAAGAGGUUUAAUGGACUCACAGUUCCACAUGGCUAAGGAGUACUCACAAUCAUGGCGGAAGACAAAGGAAGAGCAAAGGGACAUCUUACAUGGCAGCAGGCAAGAGAGCGUGUGCAGGGGAAGUCCCCUUUAUAAAACCAUCAGAUCUCAUGAGACUUAUUCACUAUCGCGAGAACAGCAUGAGAAAAACCCACCCCCAUGAUUCAAUUACCUCCCACCGUGUCCCUCCCAUGUCAUGUGAAGAUUAUUACAACUCAAGGUCACAGGAACCUUGAUCUGUGCUUGCUGCAAGGAUCAUCAAACAUAGAGCGG